GCCCGGCUAGCUCAAUCGGUAGAGCGUGAGACUCUUAAAACACUCUCUAGAGUGGUAUCUCAAGGCUGCGGGUUCGACCCCCGCGUUGGGCU
rnacentral:tRNA from 2 species